GGGUUGUGAGGUUAAGCGACUAAGCGUACACGGUGGAUGCCCUGGCAGUCAGAGGCGAUGAAGGACGUGCUAAUCUGCGAUAAGCGCCGGUAAGGUGAUAUGAACCGUUAUAACCGGCGAUACCCGAAUGGGGAAACCCAGUGUGACUCGUCACACUAUCAUUAACUGAAUCCAUAGGUUAAUGAGGCGAACCGGGGGAACUGAAACAUCUAAGUACCCCGAGGAAAAGAAAUCAACCGAGAUUCCCCCAGUAGCGGCGAGCGAACGGGGAGGAGCCCAGAGCCUGAAUCAGCAUGUGUGUUAGUGGAAGCGU
rnacentral:rRNA from 2 species